rnacentral:rRNA from 1 species
AGAGUUUGAUCAUGGCUCAGAGUGAACGCUGGCGGCGUGCUUAACACAUGCAAGUCGAACGAGUAAGUGCUGUAGCAAUACAGUUACUGCUAGUGGCAGACGGGUGAGUAAUACAUGGGAAUCUUCCUUGAAGUUUGGGAUAACUGUUGGAAACGACAGCUAAUACCGAAUAUUGCCGAGAGGUGAAAGAUUUAUCGCUUCAAGAUGAGCCCAUGCCGGAUUAGCUUGUUGGUAGGGUAAUGGCCUACCAAGGCAAAGAUCUGUAGCUGGUCUGAGAGGAUGAUCAGCCACACUGGAACUGAGACACGGUCCAGACUCCUACGGGAGGCAGCAGUGGGGAAUAUUGGACAAUGGGCGAAAGCCUGAUCCAGCGACGUCGCGUGGGUGAUGAAGGCCUUCGGGUUGUAAAGCCCUUUCGUCAGGGAAGAUUAUGACGGUACCUGAAAAAGAAGCUCCGGCUAACUUCGUGCCAGCAGCCGCGGUAAUACGAAGGGAGCUAGCGUUACUCGGAAUUAUUGGGCGUAAAGCGUGCGUAGGCGGCUUUGUAAGUCAGAAGUGAAAGCCUGGGGCUCAACCUCAGAAUUGCUUUUGAUACUGCAAAGCUAGAGUAUCAUAGGGGAAAGCGGAAUUCUUAGUGUAGAGGUGAAAUUCGUAGAUAUUAAGAGGAACACCGGUGGCGAAGGCGGCUUUCUGGGUGAAUACUGACGCUGUUGCACGAAAGCGUGGGGAGCAAACAGGAUUAGAUACCCUAGUAGUCC